GACGAACGCUGGCGGCGUGCCUAAUACAUGCAAGUAGAACGCUGAAGAGAGGAGCUUGCUCUUCUUGGAUGAGUUGCGAACGGGUGAGUAACGCGUAGGUAACCUGCCUUGUAGCGGGGGAUAACUAUUGGAAACGAUAGCUAAUACCGCAUAACAAUGGAUGACACAUGUCAUUUAUUUGAAAGGGGCAAUUGCUCCACUACAAGAUGGACCUGCGUUGUAUUAGCUAGUAGGUGAGGUAACGGCUCACCUAGGCGACGAUACAUAGCCGACCUGAGAGGGUGGUCGGCCACACUGGGACUGGGACACGGCCCAGACUCCUCCGGGAGGCAGCAGUAGGGAAUCUUCGGCAAUGGGGGCAACCCUGACCGAGCAACGCCGCGUGAGUGAAGAAGGUUUUCGGAUCGUAAAGCUCUGUUGUAAGUCAAGAACGAGUGUGAGAGUGGAAAGUUCACACUGUGACGGUAGCUUACCAGAAAGGGACGGCUAACUACGUGC
rnacentral:rRNA from 1 species